ACUCUAGAAAGGUCCAUGCCCUAAGAACACCUAUACAAGCACUGGACUUUGUCCAAUUAGCAAGUGCUCUCUGCACUCUCCUGAAACCAUAGGCACUAAUAUUCCAGGAUGCAUUCUUCCAUACUGUGGACACACCAAUGAAUGCCUUUCAUGAGCUCUGCUGUCAUGUUCUUCUCUCAUUGGAAGAAGACAAGAAGCAAUGAAGACAAGAAAGGAAGAGAAGGAGUAGGCUUGAGGCUCCUGAGCUCAGCUGGGGACAUCCUUCCCUGGAGCUGGGAAGCCUCCAAUGAGGAAGGAGACUUCCUCUCAAAGAUGUGUGGUUCCUGGGCCCCCGUGUCUCCAGAAACCCUUCCCUUGGGACACUGUCACACCUCAGAGCUGGAUGGUUCCUGAGUUCCAAGGCCCUGAACACCUUCUCAUCCAAGCACAAAGGCCAACAACCAGGGCCACUGGCCCUACAAGAUCCAGAUAUCAUCUGGUAAAGUCUGAGAACCAACUCCCAGAGAUGGGUCAUGCAGAAGUUAAUCCUGAAGCUCCAUCUUCCUCAACACUGGCAGAUAAAAGCCACCCAGGAGCCUCCACAGGAGCGCCUGUCUCAUCAAUGGGUCCAGCCAUAUUCCAGAUUUGGAAGGACCUUUGCAAGGAUCUGACAAACAUUGCAGGAAGAUCUCUGAGAGAUCUGUACAGGAUCCCAGAGGGUUCCCUGGGCAAAGAUCUAGAGGCUGUCUCCGAGACACGGGUGGACAGUUGCUAUGUCAGACAGCCAAGAAGUGACUCACCAAGUCCCCAGCUAGUCUCCCCAGGAAAACAGCAGCUAGAGGGUAUACUGAAAACCACUCAAGCAGCAAGUGGAGCCAUUACAAUGCCAUUAAGGUGCCUGUGGGCACUUGUCAAGGAAUUGCUGUGGACCACACAGUGGUCCUGCCUGAAAACUCAGAGACAAGUUCUGAAAACCCAGAGACAAAUAUGGAAGCUCAGAAGCAGUGAUCCUUGAAUGAUGGGGCCACCUGCAAGAAUAUUUCCCAAUGGGCCUUCAUUCCUACAAGAAGAUGCCUUUUGGGUGAGGCAAAAAGAUGGAGCUUGCUUCUCAGAGACCUCAAAAUCCUACAUCUUUCCAACACAAACAGGUCUGUAGCUUUGCCAUUUCCCACAGCCUCUGACUCCCUCUCCGACCUGCUGGGAUUCUAGAGAUGAUUUCCUGGGAGAGCUUUUUCAGAAAAGUUCAGAAGAGGAAGUGAGGACAAAAAUGGCUUCUAGUAUAUGCAGACUGCUCCCUCUACCCGCCAGCUCAAAUUCCUGAGAGGGAGUCCAUCUAAUGACAACAAUUGGCCAUCUGAGGCACCCAAAGUGUUUAGAAGGACAAUGUGACUUCCCUAUGCACCACACACUGCAUUGUGGGCAGAGACUGGCCCAGUGAUAAGGCUCUUGGAUCUUGGACAGGCAACCCAGAGCCAGGUUCAAACCUAGUCAAGGAUAGGUAUGAGCCCCAGGAGAGUAAGGGUGUGGCCUUUGGAGAUCUCUACCACGGGCUGUCAGUUUGGGAGAUCAGUGUGGCACCCCAGUUACCAAGUACUAGAGGUAUGGGGACUGGAGGAGGCAGAGGAGGAGCAGGAGCCCUGUGACUAGGCACUCAACAUGGAAGCCAGGGAGAUGGCAAGCUCUCAAACUUAACAAGGGGCAGCUGAGCGAUUUAGAAUCACUGCAGACCAGCAAAAGAUAUUCCCCUUCCACGACUAUUUUCCAGGAUCCAGAAGACUUAUGCCUGAACACAUCUCACUGUGACUCGGCUACCGAUGUCAGUGGUAGGACUGUACCACUGGCAUGUUCUUUCAAGACGGUGCCUCCAAGGUCCUGCUGGCUGCAGAUAUCCCUGCCUCCAGGUCCUCAGGAUCUAGCUUCAAGACUGUGUUCUCUACCAGAAAAUUAUCUUUCCAAGACAGGUGUUCUUUCUUGUCAAGAGCAGGGAAUGUUGACAAGACUCCCAGACCCCAGGAGCCUUUGACUUUCCAUUUCCACACAUUGGACUGUCCAUGUCCCAGGCAGGACAUAUUUUCCUGACAGAGAUGAGACCUGCCCAAGCCUACAGGUCCCAGUACUCAUGAAAGCUUCUCUUCCCUACUU
ensembl:lincRNA AY702103 cDNA sequence AY702103